rnacentral:rRNA from 1 species
AUGGAGCCGACCUUGAAAUACCACCCUUUAAUGUUUGAUGUUCUAACGUUGACCCGUAAUCCGGGUUGCGGACAGUGUCUGGUGGGUAGUUUGACUGGGGCGGUCUCCUCCUAAAGAGUAACGGAGGAGCACGAAGGUUGGCUAAUCCUGGUCGGACAUCAGGAGGUUAGUGCAAUGGCAUAAGCCAGCUUGACUGCGAGCGUGACGGCGCGAGCAGGUGCGAAAGCAGGUCAUAGUGAUCCGGUGGUUCUGAAUGGAAGGGCCAUCGCUCAACGGAUAAAAGGUACUCCGGGGAUAACAGGCUGAUACCGCCCAAGAGUUCAUAUCGACGGCGGUGUUUGGCACCUCGAUGUCG